GGUAGCAAAGCCACGAAUGUAAAACAACAAAAAUAAAGCAACUUGUAACCAGCAGGAUUAAGACACUGUAGGCUAGGGAGAUGGAUGGUUGGUCAUGAAUGAGAGAUAUCAUGUAUUUAACUUGGGGAAAGGCACACACAAAAGUAUUGAUCAUCUAGGCAAAUAUCAAACAUUAGGCAUGUAUCCCAAGGUAGUCGUGCGUGCUUGCAAUAAGAACUUGCACAACAUCUUUUGUCCUACCAUCCCGCUACCAAUGGGACCAAAAUGAACUUAUGGAGAUUAAGGUGCUCCUGUCAAAGAGC
rnacentral:lncRNA from 1 species